GACGAGCGCUGGCGGCGUGCUUAACACAUGCAAGUCGAACGAGACGAUUGAAAGCUUGCUUUCGAAAGUCGAGUGGCAAACGGGUGAGUAACGCGUAGACAACCUGCCUUUGAGAUGGGGACAACAGUUCGAAAGGACUGCUAAUACCGAAUGUUGUAUAUUUUCCACAUGGAAGAUAUAUUAAAGAUGGCCUCUAUUUAUAAGCUAUCGCUCAAAGAUGGGUCUGCGUCUGAUUAGCUAGUUGGUGGGGUAACGGCCUACCAAGGCGACGAUCAGUAGCCGGUCUGAGAGGAUGAACGGCCACAUUGGGACUGAGACACGGCCCAGACUCCUACGGGAGGCAGCAGUGGGGAAUCUUCCACAAUGGACGAAAGUCUGAUGGAGCAACGCCGCGUGAGUGAAGAAGGGUUUCGGCUCGUAAAGCUCUGUUGUCGGGGACGAAUGUGCAGUAUUUGAAUAAAGUACUGCAAUGACGGUACCUGACGAGGAAGCCACGGCUAACUACGUGCCAGCAGCCGCCGCAGUAA
rnacentral:rRNA from 1 species